rnacentral:lncRNA from 1 species
UCUCACCUUCUCUGCCUUCUCAAGUCUCUGGUCCAGCCUUGUGGAGAGCAGCCCUUCCUCUUCCUGCAGCUCUAAAGGGGGAGGGGUGUUGGAAGCCCCAUUCCACUUCAUACCUAUGGAGGUAUAGCCUACAGCAGGGGAGGCUAUGGCCUCUAGUGUGCUGGGCUUCUAGUGUUAGGCACAUAGUUUAUGUUGAUUGUCUGGUUUUUAGUCAGGCCCGCUGCUGGAUCGCGUCUUUACCACCUAUAAGCUGAUGCACACUCACCAGACCGUGGACUUCGUCAUGCGGAAGCGCAUCCAGUUUGGAAGCUUCUCUUACAAGAAGAUGACGGUCAUGGAGGCUGUAGAUAUGCUGGAUGAUCUGGUGGACGAAUCUGACCCAGACGUAGACUUCCCCAACUCCUUUCACGCGUUCCAGACCGCGGAGGGCAUCCGAAAAGCCCACCCAGACAAGGGUGUGCCCCUACUGCUGUAGUGGGGGAGGUGCUACCAUUGCCCUAGGAGACCAGAGAGGCCCUGCCCUCUCCCACAGGCCCCACCUUGAGGGAAGCAGACCCCUGGGCUCCUUGCUUUCUGGCCUACCGUUAUGCCUGCGGUUUCUAGGUCAUGUGUCCCUUUUCCACAGACUGGUUCCAUCUGGUUGGACUUUUGCAUGAUCUGGGGAAAAUCCUGGCCCUGUGGGGGGAACCUCAGGUAAAGGCCAGGUGUGGAGAGUGGGGCAGCUUCAGCACUGGGUUUGGGGCACUGAGGGGAGGAGACUUAUUCACCACCACCCC